AGCGAACGCUGGCGGCAGGCCUAACACAUGCAAGUCGAGCGCCCCGCAAGGGGAGCGGCAGACGGGAUAGUAACACGUGGGAACGUACCCUUCAGUUCGGAACAACCCAGGGAAACUUGGGCUAAUACCGAAUACGUCCGUAAGGAGAAAGAUUUAUCGCUGAAGGAUCGGCCCGCGUCUGAUUAGCUAGUUGGUGAGGUAAUGGCUCACCAAGGCGACGAUCAGUAGCUGGUCUGAGAGGAUGAUCAGCAUCACUGGGACUGAGACACGGCCCAGACUCCUACGGGAGGCAGCAGUGGGGAAUAUUGGACAAUGGGCGCAAGCCUGAUCCAGCCAUGCCGCGUGGAUGAUGAAGGCCCUAGGGUUGUAAAGUCCUUUUAACGGGGAAGAUAAUGACGGUACCCGUAGAAUAAGCCCCGGCUAACUUCGUGCCAGCCGCCGCUGUAACAC
rnacentral:rRNA from 1 species